GAUAGAAUAAGUACUAGGCUUACAAAGAGUAAGUCCUGGGGCCGAUUAGCUCGACUAAAGGCGGUGCUCCAGCAUGGCCGCAGUCAAAUGACUGAAACAAGUAAAAGUGUAAUGAGUUUCUCUGGCGUGAUUCCACUGAGAAAAAAAAAACAUUUGUUCACUUUCUGGCGGCGAUUGCCAGUCUUUAUUCUUUUACUACUUAUCUCCCCUCAAUUUUAUUUACUGUUGUUAUGUAACUAAACUGAACAAUUACCAUAUAUGUAACACAUACACGCACAAACUUUUAAAGUAAAGCAAAUAAAUAAAAUGCAAUGGAAUUUCUGAUUAGGCACACCAUAUUCCAUGGGCAGAGAAAUGGGUACAAGAGACGGGUGGCAAAAAUGGGGAAGUGGGUGAAAUCCCUCUUCACAUACAAAGUUUUUCAGAAUUGUAAUUUCCGUUAUAUAAGUGAAACGCAGAAAAGUGCUUAAGAAGCUUGCUUUUCAACCACGUGGUUUCGGGUUCAGGCCCUCUGCGUGGCACUACCACAGCCGCAGGUCAACUGCCAAAUAAUAAAAAAACUGCAUGUGUUUAAGUAUCCCACCCACCGUUUGACAACCAAGGAUCGUUUGUUUAUGUCCUGGCACCUAGCAAUAGAAUAAAUAGCCUUAAAAAUAAGUACUGGUGGCGAUUUCGACUAAAAUCCUGCGUUGGAUUGCGGCCAUGUCUUGAAUAACUGAAACAAAUAAAAUAUAAACGAUAAAAAUAACAUUUUCCUUACUCUAUGAGGCUUGGGGUGUCCAUAUUAACUGAAUUACCGAUAACUUCGUUUCGAAUUUUUUUUUUUUAACUCUUCCAAUCGCUAACUCAGAGACCGUUUACUCUUGUUUAGCCCCAUGUGAAACUGAAUUUAACACUUAUGAUCAAAGACGUUCCAAUAUUAUUCUUUUCUACUCUAGGUACAAGGCCCAAAAAUUCUGGGGAGGGGCCAGUUGAUUAGAACAACACCAGUACGCAACUGGUAUUUCAUUUAUCAACUCCGAAAGGAUGAAAGGCAAAGCCAACCUCGGAACGUAAAAGACAGGCGAAAUACCGCUAAGCAGUUCGUCCGACGUGCUAACGUUUCUUAUUUCUUUGCCCACAAGGGGCUACACACAGAGGGGACAAACAAGGACAAACGGAUUAAGUCGAUUAUAUCGACCCCAGUGCGUAACUGGUACUUAUUUAAUCGACCCCGAAAGAAUGAAAGGCAAAGUCGACUUCGGAACUCAGAACGUAGCGGCAGACGAACUACCGCUAAGCAUUUCACCCGGCGUGCUAACGUUUCUGCCAGCUCGCCGCCUUCCAAUAUUAGACGUUCUAACAUUAUUAAAAUCUUGUCUUUUAUUCAGGUGAAGGAACAGUUUUGAACAGUGCUGUGACAUUGUCACCCUUGUUUAAAGUGCACUGCAUUUAUUUAUUUCUUUUUAAGCUUUCAGAGGAAACUUAGUGACUGAUUUAUGAACGUUAAAACCACACAGUUCUAAAUGUCAUCUCAAAACUUAGCGAGUCACGAUUUUCUGCAACCUUUUUCACUUUGAAUUGUAGUUUUCAAAAGUCAAACGUAUGCGUUUAUGUGCAUGUAAGUAUAAAAUUAAAGAAACAAGAGCACUCAGGGCGCAAACCUUCGCCAAGGUAACACGAACGUCCUCUCAACGAUUAGCGAGAGAUGAUUUUUGAAAUGAGAAUAUCUGAAAAAUUCGACUGCUCUCACAAACGAGAAUACUAAAAAUGAACCUGACCGCUCUCAAAAAUUAAUUUACAAAAAAAAAAAACAGGAAAAAUAAUCCAGAAUCCUUCUCCGGUACCGGAUCGACCCCAAAAAUCUAAUCAGUUCGUAUCAAUCACGAAUCCAUCCAACAAUUCUUGAGCUAUUUUGUCCACGGAAAAACAAACACACACGACUGAAAAUUUUUACGGUGGUUGCCAAUUUUCAUUUUCACUUUAGUGAUCACCGAGAGAAAGUCUAUGGCGAUCUUUCGUUUUGAGAACAGUUUACAUCACUUCUUAAAGCACGUGGGUUUAUUUAUGUUUCUGAACAAGAUCGUCGCUUUCCGUAAAAAAUUUUAAUUUUUUUUCUAUCUUAUGUGGGGGGUAGAGGAGGAAGGGAAAGAGACAGAGAGGGGACUAUCUUUGGAAGUCGGCGUAAAGCGGAGCAAUUGAGGUGUGUAUGUGAAGUUGUUUUGUUAGCGUGUGUGAAGAGACAGAGAGAUCAAUGGUGCUGGUGUGUGUGUAUGUGAUUGAGAGAGAGGGAGAUAACUGAUUAUUAAAAAAAAAUUUUUUGUGACGAAUGAUUGACAGAGAAAACGAGAGAGAGAGGGAGAAGUUAUGUAUGUGUGAAUGGCUUCAGUGACACAAACACAUACGUACGUACACCUAUUGCAUAAGUUUUUGCAUAUAUGUUCAUAUGCGUGAGAGAGAGAGAGAAGGUAUGUUUUUUUGCAUGUAUGUUUAUGCAACGCUCUGCUAUGUAUAAAAAGCAAAAACAAAAAAACAUACCCUCUCUCUCCCUCCCUCACGAACAUGUAUGCAAUAGGUGUACGUAAGUGUGUGUGUGUGUGUGUGUGUUACUGAAACCAUUCAUACAUACAUAACCUCUAUCUCUCUCUUUUUCUGUCAAUCACUAACACAUUCAUUCACAAAAAGUAAAUAAAAAAAAUACAGUUAUCUCUCUCUCUCUCUUUUCACACACUAACAAAACAACUUCACAUAUACACCACACUUUCUGUGAAGAAACAAGACCGUUCAAGAUAAGAAAACAUUUGGUAGGGAUGAGGACGAAAGCAGGUAAAACACUGACUUACCGCAAAUACACGAAGGUUAUAAUAUCACACUUUUUAUAACUUUCCUAUUUAUUUCCCUUGAACAUGGUAACAUUAUCAUCUGACCAUGUGCAAGGGUUACGAAAUGAAACUGACAUUCACCUUAACGACACGGAGUGUCGGACGAGAGAAAAAGACCACUAGAGUGAUGUCCCUUGUGUCAUUAAUUUAUAUCUAAAUAAACGAGUUAACGAAACUGAAUUUUGGAAGACAAAUUUCCUAAAAAGUCAGUUUUUUUAGUUGUUUGUUUUUCUUCUUCUUCUCCGUAUCAGUUGUCUCCCAGCUCAAUAACCAGAUAUCAUUGGAAAGAGGUAAUUAAAAUUCAUUAAAAUGACAGAUCUAUUGGACUUUCAAAGAGGUCAAUUUGUUGGUGCUCGUAUGGCAGGCAAAAGCAUAAUGAAAACAGCCAAAAUGUCUGGUGUAUCAAGAAGUACUGUCUCAAAAGUAAUGACAGCAUUUAAGAAAGACAGAAAAACCUCCUCAUUGAAACAAAACUCCAGAAGAAAACCAAAACUUUCAGAUAGGGACUGUUGGACUCUUAUGCGAAUUGUUAGAGAGGAUCACAAAAGUACAGCUCCCAAAAUUACUGCAGAGCUUAAUGACCACCUCAAGAAACCAGUUUCCACAAAAACUGUUUUCUGAGAGUUGCACUAAGCUGGAUAUCACAGGAGGGCUGCAAUCAGAAAACCACUACUUUCAAGAACAAAUGUUGCAAAGCGUUUAGAGUGGAGUAAAAACCCUAGAGCAGUGGAAGAAUGUUAUUUCCUCAGACGAGUCAUCCUUUACCCUAUUUCCAACCACCGGCCGAGUAUAUGUGUGGAGAGAGCCAAAAGAAACAUUUGACUGAAACUGCCUUCUUCCAACUGUUAAACAUGGAGGAGGAUCUGUGAUGAUCUGCUGGGUUAUAUCUUAGAAAUCCACCAGCCUAAUGGUUUCCCUUCAUAGCAGAAUUUAUUGUCAAGACUAUUUAAGCAUUUUAUCUGAUCUAAUUCAUACUAUGGUUGUGGAACUGUUUCCUGACGGAAACGUGAUCUUUCAGGUUGAUAAUGCACCAAUUCACACAGCUAAAGUUGUUACUGAAUGGCACAAGGAACUUUCUAGUGAAGCUGAACAUCUUAUUUGGCCAUCACAGUCCCCAGCUCUCAAUAUUAUUGAACAUUUAUGGUGCAUUUUAGAGAAACAAAUAAGGAGUCAAUAUCCUCCACCAUCAUCACUACAAGAACUGGAGACUGUUUUAGAUGAAGAAUGGACAAAAAUUGCUUUGGAAACAAUUCAAACUUUGUACAAGUUUAGACCUCGUAGAAUUCAAGCUGUAAUUACUGCCAAAGACCAAAUGUUAGAAUAAAUUUGUUUGAAAUGUUAA